rnacentral:lncRNA from 1 species
GACGUCAGCGCCGCCGCGGUGAUUUAACAGCUUUUGUUUUGGGCAGAAGAACCUAUGGGCACAAAAAGCAGGAACGAGUAGCGGUGGCUGAAGAACGAGCAGGAGCUUGAAUUUCAGUUUUCUUAUGAGGAAUUUUCCAGAAAAGAUAUCUUCACUGUGAAAUAACUAAAUAAAUGCCCACUCAGUACAUUUUGUUCUCAAAGAAUUCCAGAUAUGAUUUUUUUCCAGACAAAAAUACCUGCUACAUGCUUCCUUCUGUAUGAAUACAUGAGACCUACCUUCAUUCAUGUUUCCUCUAUGAAGCUUUCCCUGCACUCCAAACACAGAGCUGAGACUUCCACCUAAUGUAGAAAGCUAGCACGAGCCGGCGCUGACAGAUGGAAGACUUGAGAUGUUACAAGAUUAUAUAUGGAAACACAAAAGGGUCUCACUCUGUCACCCAGGCUGGAGUGCAGUGCUGUGAUCCUAGCUCACUGCAGCUUUGAUCUUCUGGGCCCAAGCAAUCCUCCCACCUCAGCCUCCUGAGUAGCUGGGACUCAAAGUGUGCCACCACACCUGAUUUUCUUUUUGGUAGAGAUGGGGACUCACUAUGUUGCCCAGGCUGGUCUCAAACUUUUGGCCUCAAGGGAUCCUCCCACCUUGGCCUCCGAAAGAGUUGGGAUUAUAGGCAUGAGCCAACAUGCAUGGUCAAAUGCUUUUUAAACUAGUAAUUCACCUGUGUAUGGUUAUGUCAAAGAAAAAUACAAGGUUGCAUACGCUUAGAGAAAGUAAGGAAGUAACCCAUUACAUGUAUGUUUGUAAAUUUUACUUAGGCCAUCAUUUUUUAUUUUCACCUUUGAAUUUCAAAGUAAAUUAGAGAUAUGUAAAUAACAGAAUUAUCAACAUUAAAAUCUUAUUCACAAUGGCUAACAAGAACAGGAUGACAGUCAAGUCAGUAGCUUUUUAAUAAAAUGAGCAGAAUCCCAUCGUAACAGUUCUUUGUUACAUGAAUUCAAAUACACAGCAGACCAAUCAUGUUCCCUGAAAUUUAACAAUCAAUCAUACUUAAUAAAGGCCUGUUAGUGCUGUC